CCCUGGUGGCUCAGACGGUAAAGAAUCUGCCUGUAAUGCAGGAGACCCAGGUUCAAUCCCUGGAUCAGGAA
rnacentral:tRNA from 1 species